GAUGAACGCUGGCGGCGUGCCUAAUACAUGCAAGUCGAGCGAACAGAUAAGGAGCUUGCUCCUUUGACGUUAGCGGCGGACGGGUGAGUAACACGUGGAUAACCUACCUAUAAGACUGGGAUAACUCCGGGAAACCGGGGCUAAUACCGGAUAAUAUUUUGAACCGCAUGGUUCUAUAGUGAAAGACGGUUUUGCUGUCACUUAUAGAUGGAUCCGCGCCGCAUUAGCUAGUUGGUAAGGUAACGGCUUACCAAGGCAACGAUGCGUAGCCGACCUGAGAGGGUGAUCGGCCACACUGGAACUGAGACACGGUCCAGACUCCUACGGGAGGCAGCAGUAGGGAAUCUUCCGCAAUGGGCGAAAGCCUGACGGAGCAACGCCGCGUGAGUGAUGAAGGUCUUCGGAUCGUAAAACUCUGUUAUUAGGGAAGAACAAAUGUGUAAGUAACUAUGCACGUCUUGACGGUACCUAAUCAGAAAGCCACGGCUAACUACGUG
rnacentral:rRNA from 1 species